GGUUAAGCGACUAAGCGUACACGGUGGAUGCCCUGGCAGUCAGAGGCGAUGAAGGACGUGCUAAUCUGCGAAAAGCGCCGGCGAGGUGAUAUGAACCCUUGACCCGGCGAUGUCCGAAUGGGGAAACCCAGUGCAAUCCGUUGCACUAUCGUUAGCUGAAUACAUAGGUUAACGAGGCGAACCGGGGGAACUGAAACAUCUAAGUACCCCGAGGAAAAGAAAUCAACCGAGAUUCCCCCAGUAGCGGCGAGCGAACGGGGAGCAGCCCGGAGUCUGAAUCAGCUUGUGUGUUAGUGGAACGGUCUGGAAAGUCCGACGGUACAGGGUGAUAGUCCCGUACACGAAAGCACACUUGCUGUGAACUCGAAGAGUAGGGCGGGACACGUGGUAUCCUGUCUGAAUAUGGGGGGACCAUCCUCCAAGGCUAAAUACUCCUGACUGACCGAUAGUGAACCAGUACCGUGAGGGAAAGGCGAAAAGAACCCCGGCGAGGGGAGUGAAAAAGAACCUGAAACCGUGUACGUACAAGCAGUGGGAGCCUCUUUAUGGGGUGACUGCGUACCUUUUGUAUAAUGGGUCAGCGACUUAUAUUCUGUAGCAAGGUUAACCGUAUAGGGGAGCCGAAGGGAAACCGAGUCUUAACUGGGCGUUAAGUUGCAGGGUAUAGACCCGAAACCCGGUGAUCUAGCCAUGGGCAGGUUGAAGGUUGGGUAACACUAACUGGAGGACCGAACCGACUAAUGUUGAAAAAUUAGCGGAUGACCUGUGGCUGGGGGUGAAAGGCCAAUCAAACCGGGAGAUAGCUGGUUCUCCCCGAAAGCUAUUUAGGUAGCGCCUCGUGAACUCAUCUUCGGGGGUAGAGCACUGUUUCGGCUAGGGGGCCAUCCCGGCUUACCAACCCGAUGCAAACUACGAAUACCGAAGAAUGUUAUCACGGGAGACACACGGCGGGUGCUAACGUCCGUCGUGAAGAGGGAAACAACCCAGACCGCCAGCUAAGGUCCCAAAGUCAUGGUUAAGUGGGAAACGAUGUGGGAAGGCACAGACAGCCAGGAUGUUGGCUUAGAAGCAGCCAUCAUUUAAAGAAAGCGUAAUAGCUCACUGGUCGAGUCGGCCUGCGCGGAAGAUGUAACGGGGCUAAACCAUGCACCGAAGCUGCGGCAGCGACACUAUGUGUUGUUGGGUAGGGGAGCGUUCUGUAAGCCGUUGAAGGUGUGCUGUGAGGCAUGCUGGAGGUAUCAGAAGUGCGAAUGCUGACAUAAGUAACGAUAAAGCGGGUGAAAAGCCCGCUCGCCGGAAGACCAAGGGUUCCUGUCCAACGUUAAUCGGGGCAGGGUGAGUCGACCCCUAAGGCGAGGCCGAAAGGCGUAGUCGAUGGGAAACAGGUUAAUAUUCCUGUACUUGGUGUUACUGCGAAGGGGGGACGGAGAAGGCUAUGUCAGCCGGGCGACGGUUGUCCCGGUUUAAGCAUGUAGGCGGAGGUUCCAGGUAAAUCCGGUACCUUUUAACGCUGAGGUGUGAUGACGAGGCACUACGGUGCUGAAGUGAUAAAUGCCCUGCUUCCAGGAAAAGCCUCUAAGCAUCAGGUAACACGAAAUCGUACCCCAAACCGACACAGGUGGUCAGGUAGAGAAUACCAAGGCGCUUGAGAGAACUCGGGUGAAGGAACUAGGCAAAAUGGUGCCGUAACUUCGGGAGAAGGCACGCUGAUGUGUAGGUGAAGCCCCUGCGGGUGGAGCUGAAAUCAGUCGAAGAUACCAGCUGGCUGCAACUGUUUAUUAAAAACACAGCACUGUGCAAACACGAAAGUGGACGUAUACGGUGUGACGCCUGCCCGGUGCCGGAAGGUUAAUUGAUGGGGUUAGCGGCAACGCGAAGCUCUUGAUCGAAGCCCCGGUAAACGGCGGCCGUAACUAUAACGGUCCUAAGGUAGCGAAAUUCCUUGUCGGGUAAGUUCCGACCUGCACGAAUGGCGUAAUGAUGGCCAGGCUGUCUCCACCCGAGACUCAGUGAAAUUGAACUCGCUGUGAAGAUGCAGUGUACCCGCGGCAAGACGGAAAGACCCCGUGAACCUUUACUAUAGCUUGACACUGAACACUGGUCCUUGAUGUGUAGGAUAGGUGGGAGGCUUUGAAGCGUGGACGCCAGUCUGCGUGGAGCCAACCUUGAAAUACCACCCUUUAAUGGCUGGUGUUCUAACGUAGACCCGUAAUCCGGGUUGCGGACAGUGUCUGGUGGGUAGUUUGACUGGGGCGGUCUCCUCCCAAAGAGUAACGGAGGAGCACGAAGGUUGGCUAAUCCUGGUCGGACAUCAGGAGGUUAGUGCAAUGGCAUAAGCCAGCUUGACUGCGAGCGUGACGGCGCGAGCAGGUGCGAAAGCAGGUCAUAGUGAUCCGGUGGUUCUGAAUGGAAGGGCCAUCGCUCAACGGAUAAAAGGUACUCCGGGGAUAACAGGCUGAUACCGCCCAAGAGUUCAUAUCGACGGCGGUGUUUGGCACCUCGAUGUCGGCUCAUCACAUCCUGGGGCUGAAGUAGGUCCCAAGGGUAUGGCUGUUCGCCAUUUAAAGUGGUACGCGAGCUGGGUUUAGAACGUCGUGAGACAGUUCGGUCCCUAUCUGCCGUGGGCGCUGGAGAAUUGAGGGGGGCUGCUCCUAGUACGAGAGGACCGGAGUGGACGCAUCACUGGUGUUCGGGUUGUCAUGCCAAUGGCACUGCCCGGUAGCUAAAUGCGGAAGAGAUAAGUGCUGAAAGCAUCUAAGCACGAAACUUGCCCCGAGAUGAGUUCUCCCUGAGACCUUGAGUCUCCUGAAGGAACGUUGAAGACGACGACGUUGAUAGGUCGGGUGUGUAAGCGCAGCGAUGCGUUGAGCUAACCGAUACUAAUGAACCGUGAGGCUUAACCUU
rnacentral:rRNA from 1 species